GGUGAAGGCUAAACAAACUUGGAAAUAGCUGGUUCUCUCCGAAAACUAUUUAGGUAGUGCCUCGUAUAUCAUUCUCGGGGGUAGAGCACUGUUAUGACUAGGGGGAUCAUAAGAUCUUACCAACUCAUUGCAAACUCCGAAUACUGAGAAAUGCAAUUACGGGAGACAGACCAUGGGUGCUAACGUCCGUGGUCAAGAGGGAAACAACCCAGACCGACAGCUAAGGUCCCAAAUGACGUGCUAAGUGGAAAACGAAGUGGGAAGGCAUAGACAGCCAGGAUGUUGGCUUAGAAGCAGCCAUCAUUUAAAGAAAGCGUAAUAGCUCACUGGUCGAGUCGUCCUGCGCGGAAGAUGUAACGGGGCUAAGCACGUAACCGAAGCUUCGGAUGCUGCACUAUUUAUAGUGUAUGCAUGGUAGGAGAGCGUUCUGUAGGCCUGCGAAGGCAAUCUGUGAGGGUUGCUGGAGGUAUCAGAAGUGCGAAUGCUGACAUGAGUAGCGAUAAAGGGAGUGAAAAGCUCCCUCGCCGAAAGCCCAAGGUUUCCUGCGCAACGUUCAUCGGCGCAGGGUGAGUCGGCCCCUAAGGUGAGGCAGAGAUGCGUAGCUGAUGGGAAACAGGUUAAUAUUCCUGUACUUUAAUAUAAUGCGAUGUGGGGACGGAGAAGGUUAGGUCAGCCAUCUGUUGGAAUAGGUGGUUCAAGCGUGUAGGAAGAUCUCUUAGGCAAAUCCGGGAGGUCAAUUCUGAGGCGUGAUAACGAGGCACUUCGGUGCUGAAGUGAUUGAUACCAAGCUUCCAAGAAAAGCCACUAAGCUUCAGUUAUAUUAGAACCGUACCGCAAACCGACACAGGUGGGCAGGAUGAGAAUUCUAAGGCGCUUGAGAGAACCCGGGAGAAGGAACUCGGCAAAUUAGCACCGUAACUUCGGGAGAAGGUGCGCCCUUUGUAGGUGAAGCGACUUGCUCGUGGAGCUGAAGAGGGUUGCAGUGAAAAGGUGGCUGCGACUGUUUAAUAAAAACACAGCACUCUGCAAACACGAAAGUGGACGUAUAGGGUGUGACGCCUGCCCGGUGCUGGAAGAUUAAAUGAUGGGGUGCAAGCUCUUGAUUGAAGUCCCAGUAAACGGCGGCCGUAACUAUAACGGUCCUAAGGUAGCGAAAUUCCUUGUCGGGUAAGUUCCGACCCGCACGAAUGGCGUAACGAUGGCCACACUGUCUCCUCUCGGGACUCAGCGAAGUUGAAAUGUUUGUGAAGAUGCAAUCUACCCGCGGCUAGACGGAAAGACCCCAUGAACCUUUACUGUAGCUUUACAUUGGACUUUGACAAGAUUUGUGUAGGAUAGGUGGGAGACUAUGAAGCGGCGUCGCUAGAUGUCGUGGAGUCAACCUUGAAAUACCACCCUGAUGUUGUUGAGGUUCUAACCUAGGUCCGUAAUCCGGACUGGGGACCGUGUAUGGUGGGCAGUUUGACUGGGGCGGUCUCCUCCCAAAGAGUAACGGAGGAGUGCGAAGGUAACCUAGGUACGGUCGGAAAUCGUACUGAUAGUGCAAUGGCAUAAGGUUGCUUGACUGCGAGACGGACAGGUCGAGCAGGUGCGAAAGCAGGUCAUAGUGAUCCGGUGGUUCUGUAUGGAAGGGCCAUCGCUCAACGGAUAAAAGGUACUCUGGGGAUAACAGGCUGAUUCCUCCCAAGAGUUCAUAUCGACGGGGGAGUUUGGCACCUCGAUGUCGGCUCAUCACAUCCUGGGGCUGUAGCCGGUCCCAAGGGUAUGGCUGUUCGCCAUUUAAAGUGGUACGUGAGCUGGGUUUAAAACGUCGUGAGACAGUUUGGUCCCUAUCUGCCGUGGGCGCUGGAAAUUUGAAGGGACCUGCUCCUAGUACGAGAGGACCGGAGUGGACGUAUCUCUGGUGGACCGGUUAUCAUGCCAAUGGUAUAGCCGGGUAGCUAAAUACGGAAGAGAUAAACGCUGAAAGCAUCUAAGCGUGAAACUCGCCUUGAGAUGAGAUUUCCCUGGGGGUUUAACCCCCCUAAAGAGUCGUUCGAGACCAGGACGUUGAUAGGACGGAUGUGGAAGUGCAGUAAUGCAUUAAGCUGACCGUUACUAAUUGCUCGUGAGGCUUGAUCCU
rnacentral:rRNA from 1 species